rnacentral:rRNA from 1 species
CUUGGUCAUUUAGAGGAAGUAAAAGUCGUAACAAGGUUUCCGUAGGUGAACCUGCGGAAGGAUCAUUAUUGAAUAACUUGGUGUUGAGCUGGCCCUAUUGGGGCAUGUGCUCGCAUCAUAUUAUUUUACUAUCUCUUGUGCACCUUUUGUAGUCUUUGAAGUGUUCGCAGUCAAUGCGGGUUUUGGGGCUUGGGCUUUGCUGUCCUUUUCCCUGUUUGCUUCAAAGGCUAUGUUUUUAUACACACUAUUGAAGUUACAGAAUGUCUCUUAUUGACUUUUUGAGUCAGUAAAUCUAUACAACUUUCAGCAACGGAUCUCUUGGCUCUCCCAUCGAUGAAGAACGCAGCGAAAUGCGAUAAGUAAUGUGAAUUGCAGAAUUCAGUGAAUCAUCGAAUCUUUGAACGCACCUUGCGCCCUUUGGUAUUCCGAAGGGCAUGCCUGUUUGAGUGUCAUUAAAUUCUCAACCUUGUAAGCUUUUUUGCUUGCGAGGCUUGGAUGUGAGGGCUUUUUGCUGGCUUCCUUCCUUCAGUUGGAUGGUCUGCUCCCUUUAAAUUCAUUAGUGGGAUCCUUUGUGGACGGUCACUUGGUGUGAUAAUUAUCUACGCUAUUGAAUGUAAGGGGCAGUUCAGCUUUCUAACAGUCUUUGGACAACUUAUCAUUAAUGUGACCUCAAAUCAGGUAGGACUACCCGCUGAACUUAAGCAUAUCAAUAAGCGGAGGAAAAGAAACUAACAAGGAUUCCCCUAGUAACUGCGAGUGAAGCGGGAAAAGCUCAAAUUUAAAAUCUGGCGGUUCUGCCGUCCGAGUUGUAAUUUAGAGAAGUGCUAUCCGCGCUGGACCGUGUACAAGUCUCCUGGAAUGGAGCGUCAUAGAGGGUGAGAAUCCCGUCUUUGACACGGACUACCAGGGCAUUGUGAUACGCUCUCAAAGAGUCGAGUUGUUUGGGAUUGCAGCUCAAAAUGGGUGGUAAAUUCCAUCUAAAGCUAAAUAUUAGGGAGAGACCGAUAGCGAACAAGUACCGUGAGGGAAAGAUGAAAAGAACUUUGGAAAGAGAGUUAAACAGUACGUGAAAUUGCUGAAAGGGAAACGCUUGAAGUCAGUCGCGUCGUUCAGGAUUCAGCUUUAGCUUCUGCUAGGUGUAUUUCCUGUUUGACGGGUCAGCAUCAGUUUUGGCCGGUGGAUAAAGGCUCAGAGAAUGUGGCAUCCUCGGAUGUGUUAUAGCUCUGGGUCGCAUACAUCGGCUGGGACUGAGGAACUCAGCACGCCGCAAGGCCAGGUUUCGACCAUGUUCGUGCUUAGGAUGCUGGCAUAAUGGCUUUAAUCGACCCGUCUUGAAACACGGACC